rnacentral:misc_RNA from 1 species
AAGGAUCAUUACCUAGAGUUGUAGGCUUUGCCUGCUAUCUCUUACCCAUGUCUUUUGAGUACCUUCGUUUCCUCGGUGGGUUCGCCCGCCGAUUGGACAAAACUUAAACCCUUUGUAGUUGCAAUCAGCGUCUGAAAAAACUUAAUAGUUACAACUUUCAACAACGGAUCUCUUGGUUCUG